rnacentral:lncRNA from 1 species
UUUUUUUUUUUCAUGGUUGGCUUUUUUCUCCUUACUACUCCCCUAUCCUUUCCCCAGCAACAGAAAGUGGAUUGAAGUAUAUGGCUUUUGACAGAACAGCAACACUAAAUUAAUAAAUAAUCCUAAAAAUCCUAAAUUUAAAAAUUUCUGUUGAAAAUUUUCUUCAUCUGCCUUACAAAAGCCCUAAAGUAAAUUAACAAAAUCACUUAUCACUUCUGAAAAUCAUGAUCCAUGUGAAAAAAUAGUGAAAAAAUCAUGAUCCAAGUGAAAAAAUAUUUCUGGCAAAUCAGCUCUAAGUUAUUAUUAAUGAAAUCUAAAACAGAAUUUCAUUUUUUUCCACUUCUAAGAAGCAUCUUCUUUAUGAAGAUAAGGGACUACAGUGCUCCUUAGCAACUCAAGCUUGAUAACUGAUAGCAUCAGACAGGAAUUUACCUUUCUAUGACAGAAGAGACAAAAAAAAUUCAUCACUGUUGUUAAAUAGGAUUUUUUUUGUAAUACAUGUUCAUAAUCUUUCUGUCAAGCAGUGAUAAAUUAAAACAGCUGACAUCAAUGAGCAUUUCACGACUUCCUCAUUUGAAGAGCUGGGCAAUUGAGAGCAUCACUUUUACUAGCAAAGGUGGUAGACUGAGACAUCAUGGAAUUAAGAUCACUGGUAACAGCUAAUUUUCCAAUACCAUGGCUUCAAGUUUUUUUCUGUAGCCUUUAUGUUUACUGAAACCUUUUAUGUCUUUACUAUAUGAAGCUUACAAAAUUCUCAAGAAAUGCACAUACUGACAAGAGUUAUUACAAAUAUUUACUCAAAAUAUUGUUGUUUCCAGUUCCCUGUAUUUGUAGCAACAUUGAGUUGAACUCAUUCUAUCUGAGAAGUCAGGAAAAAGUUAUUACCAUCAGCUUUCCUGGAAGGAAUUUCAGUUACUCAGUCUAAAUACUUGUGAUUCGGCAAGUUAUUAUUUUAUGGAGACAUCCAGUGAUGAUGUGAACACAGUUAAUCAAAAGCAUUCAUUCACAACUGCAUUUAAGUCAGGACUCCCGACCAAGAAAAAAGCAUUUGCUUGAGGACUAGGAGAAAUGACUGAGUUCACAGUAGACAUAAUUAUUUUACAUUGAAGAGCUUUGUGAAAAACUGCGUGCCCAGCUGUAGUGAGAUAAUGAUGCCUCUAAUUAAUGUGGGUUUUUUUUCCAUUUAAUAAUUAUAAUUGGUUUAGAAAUUUGUCAGAAACUGCUGUUGUACAGGAGAGCAGAGACUGUUGUGGCCAGAUUUCGUAUCCAGUAACAGUUUCUCAGUAUUAAAAUAUAGUUUAGUUUCUAGCAUCAUAUAUACUUCUGAAAGAUUUUUGAAAUGUCAAAGGAAUUUAUGUAAGCCAGAUAUUAUGCAAAUUGAGAAAGUUAUAACACUUUAAGUAAUAGACUAUCUUGUCUACAGUUUAACUACUCUAGGAAUUUUUAGGUAUAUCAAUUAUAGAGUAUUUUGAUGCUUUUAUGCAGAUUGCUAAGAAAACAUUCCACUUCCUGAAAUAUACUCAUUGUAUAUUAUUUUAGCAGUCUCACAUAUUUCUUGCAUAAAUAGCUACAUAUCUUUCUAAAGAGUCAGACCAAAAUAUAGCAUUUGAUUACCCCUAGUCCCUGUGGGUGUGUAAGUAAUUCCCAGCUUUGGAACCUUGUGCCUGUAAGUUUCCAUUGCUCUUAGUGGAACACAAAGAUACAGGCUUUAACAGAUAUAGCAAUCUGACACAACAGCUGAGCUGGUGGGUUUUGUCUUUGAGCUCUGAAGUUUGAUUUUGUGUCUCAUUCAAAUUUUAAAUAAUUUUAAGAUAAAAUUGUCUAUUAUUACAUUAUUAAAAUAAUCGGUACUUUAACUUCCAAACUAUUUUAGAUGCCCAGCCUUCAAGUAAUUGUUUUAAAAUAUACAUGAUUGAAAAAUGUAUGUAUGAUGGCUAUAACAUUUAUUGUCUCAUAAAUGCUGUAUCAGAAUUACAUAAAAUAGGGCUCUUGAAAUCAUCUGGGUUAUCUUUUAUCCUUUAUGACUGAGACAUUCACUAGGACUGGCAGGGCAACCUUGGGUUCUAUCUACAAUCCAAUGAGCCGUAAAAUUUCACUUUGGAAAGUUUGACAAUCCAGGGGUUUUUUUUGUAUAGACUGUCUCAAGGUAACACUAUUAAUUUUCUGUUAGUGGUGCUUACCUUACACGAAGCAAUUCCAUUACCAUUCCACUUUUAAAAACUAAACCAAAAGCACAACCUAACUGGCAUUAAUGUGCUAAACAAAAGAAAACAAGCCCCCAUGUUUUCUUCCUGUUUCUCAUGCUUGUCUUUCAGGUAAUGUAGCCAAGGAGCAGAGGAUCACAUUGAGUGCAGCUUCCCUGGGCUAAGCUUAUGGCACCCACCAGGGGCUCCUGUCUAGUUGUGUGACUAGCUGGCAGGCACCACACAGCCAGCUGGUUGUCUCUUUUGCCAAGAUGCUUUCCAAAGAAACUGGCAGUAAAACAGAUACAUAUUCUGAGAAUGUUCCAAUUGUGGCAAAUAAGAAAUUUUUGGCUGAGAAGUAUUCACAAAAAAAUCAUGACCAGCUUAUUCCUCAUCCUCAGCCUAUGUCCCAGCUUUAGAACUUCCUGGUAUUUAAUGCCGUGUGCCUUUGCAGUUGCUUUUCUUCAUGCAUUUUGUACACUUAAACUUCUUCCCUAAACAGUACCUAAAAGAAGCCCAGGGUGAUUUUGCUACCAGACACUAAAUAAUGCAUCUUAUGGUUUUAGUAGAAAUCCACACUAUCUGCUUUCCUGUUGGUCAUCAGAAUCAAGAAAACUUCUGUUCUUCAUACCUUUGAAGUAGAUACCUCACACACAACCAGAAAGAAGUGCUGCUGAAUAGACUGUCAGAGCUGCCAUUCAGUUGGAACCAUCUCUGCUGUCCUUGGGUCGCUGCCUACAGAUAUUUAAAUGCAAAAUUCAGUUUAACAUUGUAAAUUGUGGUUGGUUGCAAUAUGCAGAUACAUGUUGACCAUAGGUGCUAGGGAGUAUGUAAUUUCUGGCUUUAAGAUGAAAGUGAACACAAACUAAGAAAUAACUAACUGCACUCUUUCUCUGUUCUAAAAGCUGCACCCUAAUACUGCUCCAAAAGUACUUUUGAACUUAAAUGACUGUAGAGUCAAGUCUUUCCCAUAUACCUGUUAGAAAAAAAAAGUGCAGACAAUAAUUUAAAACUCAUGUCUCUAAAAAUGGUAAAGACUUCAUUGGCUGGUACUUCUAAUUAUAAUUUGUCGGGGACAAUGGCUUGAGACCUCCUCGUGUUGGCUUCAUGCCUCUGGCACUCCCUGUGAUGAAUAUCAGAUACUGUAGCUGUGGGGACCUGGGUUGGUUCAGUUCACUCUUUAUGUCCUGCCAACACCAGAGGCUGAAAAAGCUGCCACUCCCACAGUUCCCUGAAGCGUAUCCGCUGCCCUGAGGACAGGGACAAAAUAUUUCAAGCGUUUCUGGAGUAAAACCAUUUUGGGGGAAAAAAAUAAACCACACAAAACAAAGCAAGGCCUUCUACUGUGGAUACUAUGUUCCCCUUCCUACACAGGAGCACUGGGAAGACAAACUCUGCUUGCUCUCAGCUCCCACACUCUUCUCCUGCUUCUGAAUCCUGUGUUGUUAAUGCUGGACUCAAACUGAUUUGCAUUCUGAUCUCUGGAGUGGUCUGGGCCGCACACUUUGUUCUAUAAGAAUCCUGAAUUCUGAUCAUUUUAGCUACAGUGCUGACAGGAGAGAAAAGAAUAAUAGGAUUGCCAUAGGAGAAAAAGAAAAGAAUAAUAGGAUUGCCAAAAAAGAAGCCAUAGGAGGACUGUCACCUCUAUUCAUGUUUGUCUCCCUUUAACUUUUUAACUAAAAUUUCUCUCAAACUCUUAUGAUCAUGAACAAAAUUCUGUGCAGAUUCUCUUAAGGCAGAACUUAUAUCCUAGUGAUUAAGGAAUCUGCAGAGGAAGACUGAUUCUCUCAUUUUCAUUUGCUUCUAGUAGAGAGAAAAAAGAUGAAUGAUGACCUCAUAUAAAGUCUAGAAACAGAUCAGACUUUCUGCUGAACUAAAUCCAGACUUGGAGUGCUCCUUUUUUUCCCUUAAUAGAAAAUGUUGAAACCAAUUUGACUUUACAUUUAUAAUUCCUAACCUAUAUUUUUCUACUGAGUUAUAUUUACAUGGAGAACAUUUAUCUGAUGGACAAAAAUUGGUGAAAGCACAGGUCAGGUUUUUUUUUUUUUUUUUUUUUUUUUUUUUGGCCUUUAGGCUUUACCAACUAAUCAAUAUUCCUUUUCUAAGGGAAAUUCAGGGAGUAUCCUGAAUUAUACAUCAGCUCUUCUCCUGGGCACAAUGCACUUUUACUCCAUACUAACCAGAAAAAGAAUGGAAAGUGUUACACAUGAAAGCAGCUAUGGCUCAAAUGUUUCUAGCUUAUUUAGAACUCAGUUCAGUAAGUUAUUUGAAACAUCCAAAGUUUUCUUAAUUGCUGUACUCAUAAUUGCCACACAACUGAGCUAAACUUGUGGUUUGUAAUUAAUGUUCAAACCGGACUUGAAAAAAAAUAAAAUUAUUUGCUUCUUUUUACAUCACAGCUCUGUUAAUUUGAUAAUCUGAUAGAUUUUUUUUUUUAUCAGAUACAGCAUGAAGAGCAAAUACAUUGUGUGAACCAGGAAUUCAUUAAGUACAAGCUUUCACCUCUCCUGGUAAGGAAGUAAAAUAGAAUCUGUAUUUACACAAAUAUUAGGAGCUGGGACCAGGAUGUCGGUGGCAGUCCAUGUUUAACUUGUUCUUUAAUGUGUGUGCAUUUUAGAACAGAUAAGUCUCCAACUGAUGCUAAUAGAACGUAUCUGCUAAGAUAAUAAAGUCAAGCAUAAAUUUGUGUUUACCUUUUACUUGAUGUAUUCUGAUGCUUUUUCUUUUAUGCAUUUUGGUUGACUUGGAUUUAAAAAAAAAAAAACCCAAACAAA